CGCGUAGGCUGUCCGCUAAGUCGUGGGUGAAAUCUUUCGGCUCAACCGGAAGACUGCCCUCGAUACUGGCGGGCUAGAGGGAGGUAGGGGCAGCGGGAACUGCCAGUGGAGCGGUGAAAUGCGUUGAUAUUGGCAGGAACGCCGGUGGCGAAAGCGCGCUGCUGGACCUUCCCUGACGCUGAGGCGCGAAAGCUAGGGAGCAAACG
rnacentral:rRNA from 1 species